rnacentral:rRNA from 1 species
UGGCGGACGGGUGAGUAACGCGUGGGGAACCUGCCCUGUACAGGGGGAUAACACUUAGAAAUAGGUGCUAAUACCGCAUAAGCGCACAGUAUCGCAUGAUACAGUGUGAAAAACUCCGGUGGUACAGGAUGGACCCGCGUCUGAUUGGCUGGUUGGCGGGGUAACGGCCCACCAAGGCGACGAUCAGUAGCCGGCCUGAGAGGGUGAACGGCCACAUUGGGACUGAGACACGGCCCAAACUCCUACGGAAGGCAGCAG